UAAUAUACUUUAACUUUUUUGUUAGCCUUGAAGUGGUCUGGCACUCAGACUAGAUGCUUUUUGAAGGUUCCUACAACUGAAUCAUUCUGAUUGUAAUCAUGAACUGUCUGUAGCAAGCAUUUCUGAAGUAUCUCUGAAACAUUUUGAUUGAAGUUUAAUAAUAAAAAGAAAACUGCUAUCAGGACAGAGUGUAAAGACAUAAAAGGACUAUGUCAUAAAGACUGAGUAGAUGGAGGGACAAGGUGAGUGACUGCAAUCAGAAGUAGAAAGAGUAAGUUUUGUUCACUCUAGAAAAUAGCUACUGCAUUCUGUUCAGUUUUUCUUCUAAACAUAAAGAAGAAUAAUCUAUCUUAAUCAUCACAGUCCACUGUUUUCUCAAGGAGUGCACCAUGAUAAUGUUUGGUACUUACUUGUAAAUCAGCUAUUCUAAUGUACACUUAUGACUUUUCAUUUGGAAUUCUGAAUGCUCACUGUCCUGCCACCACUACCUCAAGAGGUCUUCUAAAUGGGUCCACAAUCACUCCUUUGCCUAGUGCCAGACCAUGAUCUGUGAAAUCAGAUCUAUUCUCUCCUGAGCAUUUCUGGGAGAUGUGUUCAUGGACCUGUGCAUCUGCAAGCACAGAUUUUGUUUCAGUUACCCAGACUAGCAUUCUCAAGCAGCAGAAAAUCUAACAGAUGGUAGAUUAGUGGUAAUUUAUCAUUACACAAGGCAGAAAGGAUGGAAGGAGGAGUUACAGCCGCAAGUGUGAAGAGGCACCUUAUGCUACAAAGACAUGCCAAGAACCCAGUGGUGUUCUUUCAAGGGUUCUCUGGGCCAUGGUCUGCAGUUGAAAAAUGUCUCUCCUAUCUCCUUCGGAGGAUGAAAGUCAUAGUUCCUUAAAUUGGACUACGUUGAGAAAAUCUUAAAUAUCUUCUUUUCCCUUACCCCAUCCCCUUUAUUUUUUAUUAUUAUGUUUAAAUACAUCAGAAUUUUUUAUGAGAGUUACUUAUGUGAAAAGACUGCAAACAUUCCCAUCCAAAUUCUUGAACAUAGAUGUGGAAAAUGUUUGUUCACUCACCUGUCAUAAUAGGUUUCCUCAUACAAGGUCAAAUGAGCAAGCAAAAUUUAGACCUGAAAGAGUUAUGUACCCAUUAGAGACUUUGGAAAGCACUAUGCGUGCUUCUGUAAAGCUCUAAUUACUAAUCCUUUUAUCAUGGAUAUAUAAAUUAGCUGAAAUCUGUUCCCUCUAAAAGCAAUAGCAAAUUUUGAACUAUGUUGAAUACUGAUGAAUCAAGAAAGGUAGUCAUGCUCUCUUAAAAAUAAGAAAAAUAUGUAAUAGUUUCUUUGUCCUUUCUAAAUUGAGACCAUUUUAAUGUGUUUUUCCUCUCUACUAGAAG
rnacentral:lncRNA from 1 species